GAGUUUAUAAAGAAGCAGCUCAAACAUCCGUUCUCAGUCCUGCACGGAGCCGCUUCAGCGUCUAAACAGGCUGGUGUUUAGCUGAAAGUGAACUCCGAUUGAGCCAAAUCCGGACCCUAAACAGGUUUGUUACUUGUUUGGAUUAAAGAUGAUCCAGUGGAUCUCUCGUGAUGUCUUGCACUGGGCUCAGAGGAAUCGGUGCUGACAGAAGUGCAGCUCUGCUCCUGACAUGGCAGAGUCUGAAGAGAAACACACAACCUGAAUCAGAGGAACAUAAUUCUGCUCUAAGAUUUAACAGGUUCUGUUUUCUCCUUCACAGGUUUACAUCUGCAUACAGAACAAGACAAUCUGAUCAAUAAACUCGUCUACAAAUCAAA